UGUAUCAUCCAUAUUGAUGGAUACAUGUCGCUAAAUAUUUGUCCAAACCCAUAGAUGUAUGACACCAAGAGUGAACCUUAAUGUAAACAACUUUGAGUGAUAAUGAUGUGUAAUGUGGGUUUAUUACAGCAAGGUGUCCCUUUAGCAGAAGUCGAAGGUGGACGUACCUUCAGUUGUAAUAAAAAAUUAUUUAAAAUGAUUUAAUAUACAUUAAGUAACAUACCUUUCCUAUCUGCUGGGCUACUGAAGCAGGCCCAGCAUCCUCCGUAUUACUGAGGCCCAGAGUCAUUUAUCACAUCUAGGGUUUUUUCCACUGAAUCUCUGGAGUAAGAUGGAAUUCUCUGCAGAACAAUCCAUUGCACACCAGAGCCAGCCUGAGGUUCCCUAGGGGCAUGAGCAUAGCUUACUUCCAAGAUAUUUCGGUCAUAAUGGAAAAUAAGAGGUGGACCUGAUUGCACAGUCAGGAU
rnacentral:lncRNA from 10 species